GCUUGCUGCUACACGCCCCACCUCCCCGAAUGUUGGAGCACGCCCCAGAGGUGAGGCAGGAUGAGCCAUUGUGGAGCUGUAACUGACUAUACCCCAUCUUUCUGAUGUGAUAUCAGAGGCCACAGCUGCUUAUCCCAAGUGGCCCUUCUGUGGUAGGUUACAGCCCAGUCCUGCCUCCUUGGGUCUGACAGGAUUUCUGGGCCUCUUUUCCUUGCCUGUGCCAUCUGUAUACUACCUGUGCAUAUGGGUGCAAGGUGAGUACAAGGUAGUUGUGUUGGCACAUGAGCCCACAAAAGCCAGA
rnacentral:lncRNA from 1 species